UACAGAGGGUGCUAGCGUUGUCCGGAAUUACUGGGCGUAAAGAGCUCGUAGGUGGUUUGUCGCGUUGUUCGUGAAAUCUCACGGCUUAACUGUGAGCGUGCGGGCGAUACGGGCAGACUUGAGUACUGCAGGGGAGACUGGAAUUCCUGGUGUAGCGGUGGAAUGCGCAGAUAUCAGGAGGAACACCGGUGGCGAAGGCGGGUCUCUGGGCAGUAACUGACGCUGAGGAGCGAAAGCGUGGGGAGCGAACAGG
rnacentral:rRNA from 1 species